GGAGUUAGCCGGUGCUUCUUCUGCGAGUAACGUCACAGAUGUAAGGUAUUAACUUACACCCUUUCCUCCUCGCUGAAAGUGCUUUACAACCCGAAGGCCUUCUUCACACACGCGGCAUGGCUGCAUCAGGGUUUCCCCCAUUGUGCAAUAUUCCCCACUGCUGCCUCCCGUAGGAGUCUGGGCCGUGUCUCAGUCCCAGUGUGGCUGAUCAUCCUCUCAGACCAGCUAGGGAUCGUCGCCUAGGUGAGCCUUUACCUCACCUACUAGCUAAUCCCACCUGGGCUUAUCCAUCAGCGCAAGGCGCGAAGGUCCCCUGCUUUCCCCCGUAGGGCGUAUGCGGUAUUAGCAGUCGUUUCCAACUGUUAUCCCCCACAAAUGGGCAAAUUCCCAGGCAUUACUCACCCGUCCGCCGCUCGUCAUCUUCAAAAGCAAGCUUUUGAAAUGUUACCGCUCGACUUGCAUGUGUUAGGCCUGCCGCCAGCGUUCAAUCUGAGCCAUGAUCAAACUCUGA
rnacentral:rRNA from 1 species